GUUAUGUCAUGAUUUAUUCUGUAGCUCUUUAUGGUCUGUAGCGCCUCUGGCGACUAUGAAAUCAGUCGUUCUCGGUUAGGUUGUUAAGUGAAAGACGCAGGGCAUUUUCUUGACGAGGUAUCGUUGAAAUAUUUUUCAUAUACCAUGUACAGUCAAAAAUACCCGACUGGUCCAUCUCAGGCGGUGGUUCAUCUCUCCCGGAAUUACCCUAUGUAUAUCAAAUUGUCAAUUGUCAAUUGUCAAUCAAUUUUGUUCAAGAAUAUGCGAAAAAAUUUCUGGAAAAUUCAAAAUUCCGAUUGAACGCAAGCAAUGGCGAUCGAAUUGGACAAGCGCUAUUUGGACUAACCACUAUAUCAAUCACACCCGAACUAUUGGUAGAGUUGAGCAAAGAAAAUCGAAUUAUGCCCAAAGACAUUACUCACGGUCUAUUAGUUUGGAAAGUUAUACCCGGGACUUCUGCUUUCAAAAGUGGUCUAGAAGCUGGCGAUAUAAUAACUCACGUAAAUGGAAUCCCUGUGCAGAAGCCAAUGGAGCUGUACAACUUCAGCUCAUCGAGGAACGCUCUGGAAAUAGGGGUCAUCAACAAGGGAAAACAGAAAACGGUCACUCUCCACCUGAGUUAAACAUUUUCCAUGUCGCCCUCCGUAUAUUUUUUAAUUAAUAUAAUCAAUUUAUACAGUUUGCAGUUGUUCGUAGUUGCCAGUUUUUCUGGAAAUACGGAUGUGUUUAACGAUCUCGUGCAGCUCAAUGAGUAAGAUCAACAAUCCUGUUACUAUGAGUAAACCUAAAAACCACUUGAAAUAGAAAAAGUCUAAGAU
rnacentral:lncRNA from 1 species